UAUUUGGAGGCAAUGACGUCACAGCGACGCGACGAGGACUGUCCGAAUUCAAAGAGCACUCAAAAUGUGGCGACAAAUGCGUCCUACUUUGCCCUGAAUUCUAAGGAUGGUCCGAUGUAUCCAUCAUGUCCUACUAUAUCCCAGGAUUCAUUGCGGGCCACCUGCCGCAUAAAUUCCGAACCAGUAGAAGGAUUUUGGAGCGGAACAAUGGCGGGCGAACCGGGCGUGACAGUGGGAGAGGAAUCCGCAUUCAAAUGAAACAAAGAGCAAACAACUCUCCUCAUCAGAUUGCGAGGC